GACGAACGCUGGCGGCGUGCCUAAUACAUGCAAGUCGAACGCAGUGGGGACGGGUGAGUAACAAGUGGGUAACCUCCCAUCAGAGGGGAGAACACUUGGAAACAGGUGCUAAACCGAUACUGAUGGAUGAACCCGGGGGGCAUACGCUAGUUGGUGGGGUAACGGCUCACCAAGGCCACGAGGCCUAGCGGGUCUGAGAGGGUGAUCGGCCACACUGGAACUGAGACACGGCCCAGACUCCUACGGGAGGCAGCAGUGGGGAAUCUUCGGCAAUGGACGAAAGUCUGACCGAGCAACGCCGCGUGAAUGAAGAAGGUUUUCGGGUCGUAAAGCUCUUUUGUCAGAGAAGCGGUAUCUAACCAGAAAGCCCCGGCUAACUACGUGCCAGCAGCCGCGGUAAUUC
rnacentral:rRNA from 1 species